CAACCAUUGUACUUGUGAGCGACAAAGAAAAACAAUAAAUAAAAGGCCCAUCCAGAAGUAAUUCGCAGUCUUCUUCUACUUGAUAACUAAGAUAUAUUAAGGCAAUAACUAAGAUAUAAAAUCCAAAUAUCAUUUUAAACACCAAGAAGUUUAUAUUAAGCCAAUGCGUUACAUGACUUUUCAUGAAGCCAGCUUUUUAACUAUCUUAUCUGUACGGCUUUAUUCAAAUUUUCUCAUAGAAGCAGCUUUCGUAGCGUCCAGGCUACAGCUGAUUUUACAGAUUAAACAUGACCUUAAUGGCGCUACCACCACGAGCACUAGUUUCAAAGGCUUCUUCAACCUCCUUCUGUGAGAAACCAAACCUAUGGGUUAUCAGGGGCUUCACAUCAAUCUUACCGCUCCUCAAGAAUUCAAGACACAGUGGCCAUGUGUUCGUAUACCGGAAUACACCGAUGACAUCAACCUCCCUGAAAGAAAGGGCCAACAAAGAUAAAUUUCCAGAGCGAAAGUGAAUGUUUUUAGACCAUGAUUAUUGUGGCUUGAAUUACCCCAAAUUAUCCAUAAAUUAUUCCUCUUCACGCACUGACAGCUUUGAUCUCUACACAACCUUACAUUGAGUAAUCCCUGAAUUCUAAUUCCAUUCCACUAACUUGUUCACAUAAACAAAACUAAAAUAUUAGAGCAAAGCAACAUAGAAGCAAGUACCUCGCUGCAGCUGGUGUAAGAGGGACAGUCAUCUCAUUAUGGCCCAUUCCCACAAGGCAAACUUUACCACCCGGUCGAGUGGCACUCAGUGCUGUUGACAUGGUUUUGUUAAAGCCUGCACAGUCAAAAGUGACAUCCACUCCAGCUCCCAUGGCUUUAUGGAUCAGCAACACUUCCUCAGGUAUGUCCUGUACAUUUCAAAAUCUUAAAUGUAUAGCAAUUGACAUUAGGAUGAAGAGGAUGCAACUCAAUUUGGGCAGGUUCAGGUUACCUUCAAACCAGAACUAACCCAAUUGGUUCUCAUUUCUCAAGUAUUCGACCAAAACCAAUUGACUGUAACCCUUCUAGGUGGGUUUGGUUCUCUUAAGGUAUCCAUAAAACAAUAUCUUAUCUAUGUAAUUAUGAUACAUAUAAAACAAGUUCUACUCAGUUCUUGUCUACAAACCUUACUGAGUAAAUUGUAGCAUUUCUAUCUGAAGUCAGUUUCUGCAGCUAACUAGAGUUAUUUAAAAGCUGAAUAAACUAAAACCUCAAAGAUGACAGGUUGGGUCUGUUAACAAGAGGACUCCAAUUUGCACUUACAGAUGCAACUUUAUAAAAACAGAACAACAGCUUCUAGAAGCUACACCAAAAGAUUUUAAUGAACUGGUGAUUGACAUGAGGAAGAUUAUGUCAUAACACAUAACAAUUGAGUGGUCGAGCUGAGGUAUGUAAUUUACUGUAAUAAGAAACAGUUUUCUGCAAAAUGUAUGGAAGGUAACCUGAAUAUUUGUUGAAACUUUAACAAUCCCAUCAGCACCGAGAUCCUUGGCAACAGAUAAACGAUAGUCAUCCACAUCCACAAUGAUAAUUCUGGGUGCUCCAAAAGCACGAGCUGCUAGCAGUGUGACAAGGCCUAUGGGCCCUGCUCCCAUCACUAGCAUAUUUGUUUCUGGACCAAUAUUAGCCCGACGACAAGCAUGAACACCAACACUUAGGGGCUCACACAUUGCCCCUUCCUCCAAGCUCACAUUUUCUGGUAGUUUAAAACACAGAUCUGCAGGGUGCACC
rnacentral:misc_RNA from 1 species